AGAAUCAACGCUGGCGGCGUGCCUAACACAUGCAAGUCGAACGAGAAAGUGGAGCAAUCCAUGAGUAAAGUGGCGACCGGGUGAGUAACACGUGACUAACCUACCUUCGAGUGGGGGAUAACCUCGGGAAACCGAGGCUAAUACCGCAUAACAUCGCAAGAUCAAAGCAGCAAUGCGCUGGAAGAGGGGGUCGCGGCUGAUUAGCUAGUUGGCGGGGUAAUGGCCCACCAAGGCGAAGAUCGGUAGCCGGCCUGAGAGGGCGCACGGCCACACUGGAACUGAAACACGGUCCAGACUCCUACGGGAGGCAGCAGUGGGGAAUUUUGCGCAAUGGGGGAAACCCUGACGCAGCAACGCCGCGUGGAGGAUGAAGCCCCUUGGGGUGUAAACUCCUUUCGACCAAGACGAUAAUGACGGUACUGGUGGAAGAAGCACCGGCUAACUCUGUGCCAGCAGCCGC
rnacentral:rRNA from 1 species